rnacentral:rRNA from 1 species
AUGAGGAGCGGCGGCGACGUCAAAUCCUUCUUCCGGCAGCAGAAGGCCCACUCCGGCGCGGCGGCCGCCACCAAGCCCGCCGGCGGCGUCUCCAAGAAGGCGGCGCACCACCACCAGAAGCAAGCGGCGGCGGCGGCGCAUCUCCUCCGCCCGAUACGAGAUCACCGCGACGGCGCUGACGCGGCGAGGAGGGAGGAGGAGGAGGACGCGGAGAGGACGGCCCGGUAGUUCGACAUGGACACGCGCUACGGGCCCUGCCUCGGCCUCACCCGCGCCCAGCGCUGGCAACGCGCCGCCGCGCUCGGCCUCGCCCCGCCGCCGCACGCGCCCUGCUCCGACCACCAGCCGUGCCUCUGGGAAGGCCGCGUCUAG